GGUUUCAUGGUCUAGUGGUUAGGACACCGGAUUUUGAUUGUCUCAGAAGUUUUCCGGUAGCCUGGGUUCGAACCCCAGUGAGACCU